GAAAAGAGUACUGAUAUAUUUUUACAGUACCUAGUUCGCACCGAUUAAAAAAAGUACUAAUCAACAGGUAGGUGAGUUCACUCCGUUCAAUCAUUUAUAGGAAGUCCUCAUCGCUGAUGUCCAUCUAGAUCAUCUUGUCUUCCUUGUCCUGCUCGUCCCUCAACGGCUUUUACUUUUACAGAAUCUUCUACACUCUAGGGAGAGACUUUAUUCCUACAUCCAAGGUGUUAGGCUUGGCAGUAUCUUGCUAUAACUUUAGCGGUCCAAAACAUAUCUUACUAAACCGCCCUGCAGCAAUGAGGAGAUCAGCACUGACACCAAAAAAAUUAUAGCCAAGCAAUAGUACAAAAGUCAUCCCCUAACGAUACGUCAAUAGAAUUCUGUUGCCAACCCGUAAAUACGAACCAACUGUGGUUGUCCAAUGUGGUCGCAUCGACCCAUAUCCUGCAAAGGAUGCUCAAAUGCCGGACUUCAACAACAGAGAGACUAUGCCAUCUAAUUUAGGCAUUUCUAUUUAACCUCAAAAAAUCAUUUAUGAUCUGAACCUUUCAAAUUCGUUAAUUCAACGUCCAGGUCGGCGAAAUGCAGUUCCUCUAAAAAAAAUUGAAUGAGUGACUGUAGGUACAGUAGUGUGACCAUAAGUAUGGGCGAUGAAACUACAUGUUACCGUCCAUAAUCAUGUUCUUGGGCUCUGCUUUGCCAUGUGCAUACCAAGGUGCCUGAAACCCCAAACUUAUUAUUUCCCAAAUAAUUACCAACCAAACAGGAAGAUGACGAAGGAUUCCAAUAGCUAAAUUAAUGUACAAGCAAGCAUUAAUAGCAAUACUUCAACACGAGAAAUUGGAGAUUAAAAAGAGGAGUCAUAAUAUGUAGUAUCAUUUACCUUAGACUGAAGCUUGGUUAAGAAGAGUGCAGUCACCAAUUAAGCUUGGUUCCUCAUAGCAGCUAGAAAUCACUUCAUCAAUCGGUGGAACAUCACACUUUUUUUUAACAUCACUCCACUAUGGCACUCCUUCAAAGAAUUAUUAUGUCUGGACCACAACGCCAGCGAAACCCAUCCUGCCCAGCAACCGUGAGAUGAAGUGAGUAGUUAAAGUAAAGAUAAAUCAAGGAAUGAGAGCAUAUGCCGACAUCUGUGCUCUGUAGCGAGGCCAGUCUCCAUCGUAGAGGUCGCGCACUCUGUGGAGCCCAUUACCACGUCAAGCACUUAGCAUGUGGUGUCGUUGGCCUGUCCGGGCGUCCUACGAAUGUCAACUCAACGUAGGAAAAAAUAGACCACUAAACCCACGAUACAUGGGCAGCAAAGAACACAUCAAGAUCAAGCGAAAAACAAUAAGAUCAUAUCAUGAUGAGGAGAGCCUGUGCCGCUAC
rnacentral:lncRNA from 1 species